UUUCCUUUCCAUGAUCAUGAUCUAUUCUACUACAUUUCUAGAGCAGAGGAAGGAGUAUUUUGACUUGAACAGCAGUGUGAAUUUGUCUUGCACCAAUAAGAAGUUGUCAGUUGUGUACGCUAUAUGGAACAUUAACAUCAAUAAUUCCAAAUGCAUAAUAGCAUCUAAUAUUGCAAAAGAAGAAGACACUUGUAAGGAUGGAAAAGUUCUUCACAACAUUACUAAUGGUGAAGUCUACCUUCACAUUCCUCGCUUUACAAAAAAAGAUGAAGGACUUUAUUAUUGUGAAAUAGCAUCCAAAGAGGGAAGUCACUCUGCAGAAAUCAUAGUGUAUGCUAGAGCCUCCCUAAGCAUAUCCACCAGGCUGGAUGUGGACCACAGGGUCGCUGUGUGUUCAGCCACAGGAGCUCCUCCAGGUGCCUCCAUCUCAUGGAGGACAUCAUGGAACUCAACCGGUAACCAGAACUGCACACCAAACCCAGAUGGCACCUUCAACAUGGAGAGCCGUGUCAGCCUGCCUGAUGGUGUCAAUAGAAUUGACCUGGAGUGCAUCGUGACACAUCCUGACUGGAACAAGAACCACACUGAGAUAUUUCAUGUGCCUAGAUCAACCAGUAUGGGUCAGUAUUUCUGUGAACCUUUUAAACUCUUAGAAUAAUUUUGAUAUAUGUACAGUUGUGUUACAAUAAAUUACUCCCUAACUACGACUUUUUAACCACUUGAGAAUGCACGCAAAAGAAAUGUGAAUUCUGACAGCGAUUAAGAAUUUUUGGACAAAUGCAGUUUAAAAACAAGCCUUCAAACUGUCUGGCUAAGUCUGGAACACUGUCUUGUUAAUAUUUAAACUUAAUUUUUUAUUCUUCUUUUCACAGGCCCAUCGUUAGAAAUAUUGCCAUGUGUAAUUUUUUCAUUAAUUUCGGUCGUUCUCUUUGGCUUUUCAUCUAUUGCCCUAUUCAAGAUAAGACUUGAAGAGCGCAGAAGGCGACAAAUGAACUUAGAACAAUCAUGAUCUUCAGAUGAAAACUGCUGUCAUCUGGGAAACACAAAAGUACCCUUUUUCUUGUUAAACUAAAGAAAUUCCAUCGAAUGUUAUUUGAAAAGCCCGACACACGACAUAUUCCCAAAACAACCCUCAUGAAAGUACCGUGAUCUCAACUACUUUUCCCGUAUAUCUAAACAAGUAAAGUUGUCAAACUUCCUACUGUUCCUGUCAGUCUGUUUUGUUGAGAAGCAGAGGAUCAAAACAGAAAGUGGAAUCUCAUCUGUAGCAAACUGGAGGACCCGGUUGAUCCUCCCUGUUCAGAGGAGACCAACCAUGUGGGAUUUCACAGAGGGACACCGAAAGCUCACAGGUCACGAGAUGAGGGAUCGCGGGUCCCCUCCUUCCACACAACCCG